rnacentral:rRNA from 1 species
AUUUAGAGGAAGUAAAAGUCGUAACAAGGUCUCCGUUGGUGAACCAGCGGAGGGAUCAUUACAGAGUUGCAAAACUCCCACAAACCAUCGCGAAUCUUACCCGUACGGUUGCCUCGGCGCUGGCGGUCCGGAAGGCCCUCGGGCCCCCGGAUCCUCGGGUCUCCCGCUCGCGGGAGGCUGCCCGCCGGAGUGCCGAAACCAAACUCUUGAUAUUUUAUGUCUCUCUGAGUAAACUUUUAAAUAAGUCAAAACUUUCAACAACGGAUCUCUUGGUUCUGGCAUCGAUGAAGAACGCAGCGAAAUGCGAUAAGUAAUGUGAAUUGCAGAAUUCAGUGAAUCAUCGAAUCUUUGAACGCACAUUGCGCUCGCCAGUAUUCUGGCGAGCAUGCCUGUUCGAGCGUCAUUUCAACCAUCAAGCUCUGCUUGCGUUGGGGAUCCGCGGCUGCCCGCGGUCCCUCAAAAACAGUGGCGGGCUCGCUAGUCACACCGAGCGUAGUAACUCUACAUCGUUCUGGUCGUGCGGCGGGUUCUUGCCGUAAAACCCCCCAAUUUCUAAGGUKGACCUCGGAUCAGGUAGGAAUACCCGCUGAACUUAAGCAUAUCAAUAAGCGGGAGGAA